UUAGCGAUUUUAUGCUUAUUUUGCAUUGUUUUGUAGGUAAUUUGAGAAAAAUAAAGAAUGGAGUUGAAGAUGAAGGUCUUAGACUCAAAAAAAGGAAAGAAAGGUUGAAGAUAUGCAUAAAAGCCAACCAGUCAAUCAGAAAAGUCAAUCAGUCAACCAGAAAAGUCAACAGUCAACCAGGAAAAGUCAACCAGUCAACCAGAGCACAGUUGACCAGUGCCGGGCGGUUGACCAUGGCGCCGGGCGGUUUCCCUCGAGCCGCAAAACCACUGGGCGGCCAUUUUUGGCGCCAAGCAGUUGUCAG
rnacentral:lncRNA from 1 species